UACGUAGGUGGCAAGCGUUGUCCGGAAUCACUGGGCGUAAAGCGCGCGCAGGCGGCGAUCUACGUCUGGGGGUGAAAGCCCGGAGCUCAACUCCGGGACUGCCUUGGAUACGGGAUCGCUUGAGGAUUGGAGAGGCAAGGGGAAUUCCACGUGUAGCGGUGAAAUGCGUAGAGAUGUGGAGGAACACCGAUGGCGAAGGCAGCCCCCUGGGUCAAGAUUGACGCUCAUGCACGAAAGCGUGGGGAGCAAACAGG
rnacentral:rRNA from 1 species